GCCCAUCCAGCUCAGUCUGUAGAGCAUGUGACUUCUGAUCUCAGGGUCAUGAGUUCAAGCCUCACGUUUGGUG
rnacentral:tRNA from 1 species